rnacentral:rRNA from 1 species
ACACAAAAAUGCACAUGCUGUGAGCUCGAUGAGUAGGGCGGGACACGUGGUAUCCUGUCUGAAUAUGGGGGGACCAUCCUCCAAGGCUAAAUACUCCUGACUGACCGAUAGUGAACCAGUACCGUGAGGGAAAGGCGAAAAGAACCCCGGCGAGGGGAGUGAAAAAGAACCUGAAACCGUGUACGUACAAGCAGUGGGAGCACGCUUAGGCGUGUGACUGCGUACCUUUUGUAUAAUGGGUCAGCGACUUAUAUUCUGUAGCAAGGUUAACCGAAUAGGGGAGCCGAAGGGAAACCGAGUCUUAACUGGGCGUUAAGUUGCAGGGUAUAGACCCGAAACCCGGUGAUCUAGCCAUGGGCAGGUUGAAGGUUGGGUAACACUAACUGGAGGACCGAACCGACUAAUGUUGAAAAAUUAGCGGAUGACUUGUGGCUGGGGGUGAAAGGCCAAUCAAACCGGGAGAUAGCUGGUUCUCCCCGAAAGCUAUUUAGGUAGCGCCUCGUGAAUUCAUCUCCGGGGGUAGAGCACUGUUUCGGCAAGGGGGUCAUCCCGACUUACCAACCCGAUGCAAACUGCGAAUACCGGAGAAUGUUAUCACGGGAGACACACGGCGGGUGCUAACGUCCGUCGUGAAGAGGGAAACAACCCAGACCGCCAGCUAAGGUCCCAAAGUCAUGGUUAAGUGGGAAACGAUGUGGGAAGGCCCAGACAGCCAGGAUGUUGGCUUAGAAGCAGCCAUCAUUUAAAGAAAGCGUAAUAGCUCACUGGUCGAGUCGGCCUGCGCGGAAGAUGUAACGGGGCUAAACCAUGCACCGAAGCUGCGGCAGCGACGCUUAUGCGUUGUUGGGUAGGGGAGCGUUCUGUAAGCCUGUGAAGGUGUGCUGUGAGGCAUGCUGGAGGUAUCAGAAGUGCGAAUGCUGACAUAAGUAACGAUAAAGCGGGUGAAAAGCCCGCUCGCCGGAAGACCAAGGGUUCCUGUCCAACGUUAAUCGGGGCAGGGUGAGUCGACCCCUAAGGCGAGGCCGAAAGGCGUAGUCGAUGGGAAACAGGUUAAUAUUCCUGUACUUGGUGUUACUGCGAAGGGGGGACGGAGAAGGCUAUGUUGGCCGGGCGACGGUUGUCCCGGUUUAAGCGUGUAGGCUGGUUUUCCAGGCAAAUCCGGAAAAUCAAGGCUGAGGCGUGAUGACGAGGCACUACGGUGCUGAAGCAACAAAUGCCCUGCUUCCAGGAAAAGCCUCUAAGCAUCAGGUAACAUCAAAUCGUACCCCAAACCGACACAGGUGGUCAGGUAGAGAAUACCAAGGCGCUUGAGAGAACUCGGGUGAAGGAACUAGGCAAAAUGGUGCCGUAACUUCGGGAGAAGGCACGCUGAUAUGUAGGUGAAGCGACUUGCUCGUGGAGCUGAAAUCAGUCGAAGAUACCAGCUGGCUGCAACUGUUUAUUAAAAACACAGCACUGUGCAAACACGAAAGUGGACGUAUACGGUGUGACGCCUGCCCGGUGCCGGAAGGUUAAUUGAUGGGGUCAGCGCAAGCGAAGCUCUUGAUCGAAGCCCCGGUAAACGGCGGCCGUAACUAUAACGGUCCUAAGGUAGCGAAAUUCCUUGUCGGGUAAGUUCCGACCUGCACGAAUGGCGUAAUGAUGGCCAGGCUGUCUCCACCCGAGACUCAGUGAAAUUGAACUCGCUGUGAAGAUGCAGUGUACCCGCGGCAAGACGGAAAGACCCCGUGAACCUUUACUAUAGCUUGACACUGAACAUUGAGCCUUGAUG